GGCUGGCAGCCUCUUCACUCUCACCGUGGAGCGGGAGCUGGGGGGUGGCAGGCACCAGCGCUCGGCCCUCAGGAUCCUGCUGUCCCCAGGGGCCGGCGGGCCCUGCCCCAGGCCGUACGUACAGGGCUGAGCUCUGCUCCCCCUCCAGCACUCCCUGUGCCUGCUGAGGGCCAGGGAAUUCCAUCCCUGCAGGUGAAGCAGGAGGGACACCCCAGUGGGAGCCCUGGCUGGGGGCCAAGGGGGUGUCACUGCUCCUUGGGGAUAUGUGGGGCCAACCCAUCCCUGGGUCCCUGCCUGGCCUGGUAAGAGCCAGCUCUCUCCUGGGGUGUCUCCCCACGUGCAGGGAACCUGGAGCUGUCUGCCUGCCCUGGAUCGUGGAGCGACUGCUGGAGGGGAACAGCCUGACCUUCCUGCUGCUGUGUGUGUCACUGCCAGGUACCCCUGGGACUGGGACACUCUCUGGGUGCCCUCUCCCUACUGAUUCCCCCCCACAUGGCACUCAGUCCCUGCUGCCUGGGACACCUGCAGUCACUGGAAGCUGACACAGCUCCACUCCUCUCCAUGGCACCCCCUGUGCUGGGAGCCCCCAUGGCCCCUGCCCAGGGCUCACUGUUCUCCCAGACACCUCCAGAGAGGAGAUCCUGGGAGCUCUGGGACUGGCUCAGAGGGUGAAGGGGCUGGCCAAGACCAUCUCUGCCACGCUCUGGGCCCCUGAGGAGGAGAUUGGGGCGCGCCGCAGGGAGAUCCGAGCGCUGCGCGUGGAGCUGCUGGCUGGGCCUGGCCGCCCUGAGCACAGAGCAGCUGUGGCCCAGCUGAGGAGAGCCCUGAGGGAGCUGAAGGUGCUGAAGAGCCAGAGGUGGGAGAAAAAGCAGUCAGUGACCAAGGUGCUGGGGACAAGUGAUAUGCACCAGCCCAGUGCUGAGGAGCAGGUCUCUGCAGGAAAUGCAGCUCCAGGCCAGCAGCCUGGGAGCCAGACACCCCUGGAGCCAGCAGAGCCAGAGCGUGGGGCCAGGCGUGCAUCCCGCAGAUGGGUGGAGGACAUGUGGGCACAGAGCGUGGCUGGACACGGACAGGGUGACAGCAGAAGCCAGGAAGGGGACAGCCAAGCUCUGGCCAGCACAGGGCUGCUGGAGGAGCCAUCCCAGAGCAAAGUGUCACAGCCACGGCCCGGGUGUGACAGCGCUGGGAGGCGGUGCCAGCCGUGCCCACUCCCGGAGGUGCAGCGGGCCCUGGCCAGGGCACGGCGGCAGCGGCUGCGGGCUCAGCACUGCCGGCAGCGCCAGCGGGAGCUCGGGGCCGGCUCUGUGCCAGCCCGGGAGCACAGCGGAGAGCGGGACACAGAGCGCUGGCAGCGGGAGGUGACCGCGCUGGGCCUGAGCCUGGAGGCAGCGCUGCGGGAGCGGGAGGCGGCCGAGUGGGAGCUGGAGGCUCUGCUGCUCAACCACCACCGGGAGAUGCAGGGCUGCCGACAGCACCUGCUGCAGGUGCUCCGGGACCAGCAGCGCCUGGCGGAGGAGCAGCGGGCGGGCCUGGAGCGCCGGCACCGGGAGCGGCUGCAGGAGGCGCUGCGGGAACUCGCCGAGCACAAGCAGCUCCUGAGGGACACCCCACGGGCAGGCACGGCCGGUGCCACCUCACAGACACCCUGAGGCACGGCCGGGCGUGGGGACAGCUGGCCUGGCACGACUGGGUCCCUGCACCGAGCCAGCAGCCAUGCCAGGAUACCGGGCAGCCCCAGGCACAGGAGUUAUCCCAGGCCUCUGGCUGUGCUCCCGAGGGAAAGCCUGCUCUGUGCUGGGACCCUGCCUGUGGGAGCACAGCUCAGCCUGCUGGGAGGCAGGCUUUGUUCUCCACACAGAAUAAAGUGGGUGCUCCUCAGCCGUGAGUGGUGUCA
rnacentral:lncRNA from 1 species